rnacentral:tRNA from 1 species
GCGGCUGUCGUAUAACGGUUAGUAUCGGGGACUGUGGAUCCCUGGGAGGGGGUUCGAUUCCCCCCAGCUGCC